rnacentral:lncRNA from 1 species
GGGGAGCUAGCUCUCUUUGGUGUUUCCCUCGUCCCUGUGUGGAGAGGCUACUAGGAGAGCAAGAUUGUCAAGCCCCACACUGUUCUGUGCAAGGUAGGAGACCACUAUGGUGGUGUCCAAAGAGGUGCUGGCACUGAUGACUGUGCCACAUAAGCCAGGAGCUGCAUUGCCACCCUGGGCAACUUUGCCAAGGUCAUUUGUUAUGGCAUCUCCUAGACCUACAAUACCUGACCCCCAGACUCUGGAAAGAGACCGUGUUUAUCAAGUCUCCUUACCAGUACACUGACCAUCUUGUAGAAACCCAUACCAGAGUCUCUGUUCAGAAGACCCAGGCUCCAGCUGUUGCUACCACAUAA